rnacentral:rRNA from 1 species
UGGGGAAUAUUGCACAAUGGGGGAAACCCUGAUGCAGCGACGCCGCGUGAGCGAAGAAGGCUUUCGAGUCGUAAAGCUCUGUCCUAUGAGAAGAUAAUGACGGUAUCAUAGGAGGAAGCCCUGGCUAAAUACGUGCCAGCAGCCGCGGUAAUACGUAUGGGGCGAGCGUUGUCCGGAAUUAUUGGGCGUAAAGGGUACGUAGGUGGUUUUUUAAGUCAGGUGUCAAAGCGUGGAGCUUAACUCCAUUAAGCACGUGAAACUGAAAGACUUGAGUGAAGGAGAGGAAAGUGGAAUUCCUAGUGUAGCGGUGAAAUGCGUAGAUAUUAGGAGGAAUACCGGUGGCGAAGGCGACUUUCUGGACUUUUACUGACGCUCAGGUACGAAAGCGUGGGGAGCAAACAGG